GUUUGAUCAUGGCUCAGAUUGAACGCUGGCGGCAGGCCUAACACAUGCAAGUCGAACGGAAACAUGUCUAGCUUGCUAGAUGAUGUCGAGUGGCGGACGGGUGAGUAAUGCCUGGGAAUUUGCCUUUGUGUGGGGGAUAACUAUUGGAAACGAUAGCUAAUACCGCAUAAUACCUACGGGUCAAAGGGGGCUUCGGCUCCCGCGCAAAGAGAAGCCCAGGUGAGAUUAGCUUGUUGGUGAGGUAAAGGCUCACCAAGGCGACGAUCUCUAGCUGUUCUGAGAGGAAGAUCAGCCACACUGGAACUGAGACACGGUCCAGACUCCUACGGGAGGCAGCAGUGGGGAAUAUUGCACAAUGGAGGAAACUCUGAUGCAGCCAUGCCGCGUGUGUGAAGAAGGCCUUCGGGUUGUAAAGCACUUUCAGUUGUGAGGAAAGGUUAGUAGUUAAUACCUGCUAGCUGUGACGUUAACAACAGAAGAAGCACCGGCUAACUCCGUGCCAG
rnacentral:rRNA from 1 species